ACUGUGGCUCAGGGCUAGAGUAUCUGCUUUGUAUGCAGAAAGUCCUAGGUUCAGUCCCCAGCAUCUGCA